rnacentral:tRNA from 1 species
UCUAAAAUGACAGAAAAUGUAUAGGACUUAAACCCCUAUUAUGAAGAUUAUUCUUCUUUUAGAA